rnacentral:rRNA from 1 species
UGGUUUGUGUUCCAAAUGAUUUAUCGCCGUAGGAUGGGACUGCGGCCUAUCAGUUUGUUGGUGAGGUAAUGGCCCACCAAGACUAUUACAGGUACGGGCUCUGAGAGGAGUAGCCCGGAGAUGGGUACUGAGACACGGACCCAGGCCCUAUGGGGCGCAGCAGGCGAGAAAACUUUGCAAUGUGCGAAAGCACGACAAGGUUAAUCCGAGUGGUUUGUGCUAAACGAACCUUUUGACAGUCCUAGAAACACUGUUGAAUAAGGGGUGGGCAAGUUCUGGUGUCAGCCGCCGCGGUAAAACCAGCACCUCAAGUGGUCAGGAUGAUUAUUGGGCCUAAAGCAUCCGUAGCCGGCUCUGUAAGUUUUCGGUUAAAUCUGUACGCUCAACGUACAGGCUGCCGGGAAUACUGCAGAGCUAGGGAGUGGGAGAGGUAGACGGUACUAGGUAGGAAGGGGUAAAAUCCUUUGAUCUAUUGAUGACCACCUGUGGCGAAGGCGGUCUACCAGAACACGUCCGACGGUGAGGGAUGAAAGCUGGGGGAGCAAACCGGAUUAGAUACCC